UUUGCUCGAAGCUAAAACAUAGUUACUUAAGUACGAGCUGCUCAAAAAAUCUUGAAAAGAGGUAGCAAACCGGUUAGAAUGCCUUUAUCACUACACUUCGAAAAAAAUAUGCCGUUUUGAGGUCGAGCAGAUAUUGCAGAAGUUUGACCGUCUGGAUGUGCGAAAGGGUUGAACCGAGUGAGGUGACACUGUGUAUACACAAUAAUGAGCAGAAGAAUAAAAUACAUCAGUUGAUCAGAAGCAUGCUACGUCAAUGGUGACCCCGACGUGACUGGAAAAAUAAUUCAACAAAAUGGCUACCCCCGACGAUAUCAAGCCGGUUAUUGAGAGGUCUUCCCGGGACAACGAUCAGCCCUGUGUGGUAUUAGACGACAGUACCCGAGAUUGCUAGUUCCACCAGCCGUUCGUGACCUUUAUAUCAUAACUUUACAUCGCAUAUCACAUCCUGGAAUUUCCGCAACCCGUCGACUAAUCUCUGAUCGAUUUUCCGACAUUCACGUUGACAUUGUGGGACCACUUCCCCGAUGUGAAGGAUCUCGCUACGUGUUUACAAUCAUGGACCGGUACACCCGAUGGCCAGCAACAUUCCCCAUGAGCGAUUUCACAACACAAGAAUGUGUUAAACAAGUACUCCAUUGGGUUGGUAUGAUUGGUCUUACCAGGACGUGGGUAUAUCAGACCGUGGUAGCCAGUUUAAGUCUGAACUGUGGUCUGGGAUAAUGUCUGCGCUUGGGAUUUCUCAUGGGACUACCACGCCUUUCCAUCCACAAUCUAAUGGAAUGAUCGAGAGAGUUCACCGCACUUUGAAGACGUCCAUAAAAACAACGCGUCCGUCCGACGACUCCUGAUUAAAACGAUUACCCAUAAUUCUACUGGGCCUCCGUUCAAACAUCAACCCUGAUAUCGGUCAUAGCCCUGCCCAAAUGACUUUAGGUCUUUCAUCAAGACUACCUGGUGUCAUUUUUUUCGACACUAUUAAGGGCACUAGAAACCAAAGAGAAGAAAUACGAGAACUAAUAGCCUAUCUUAACAAUAUUCCUUUUUCACCACCAAAGCGCCAUGGAACCACAAAGAUUUCCCAAAAGUCUAAUUUACACUCGGCCUCUCACGUGUGGAUUCGAGCCGAAAACAAAGUUGGACUCGAACCAGCCUAUCAAGGUCCUUAUGAAAACAUCAAACUCCAAUCGAAAGUAUUUAUUGUUCUGAAAGAUGGCAAAGAAUACUCCAUAUCAGUGGAUAGAUUGAAACCUUCGGUCCCAUGUAAUACAUCUUCCUUCAGCUCUCGCAUUCCAUGGUCGUCAUGUCAUGUCUUUCCUCCGAUUGGUUUUGCUCCUGAUUCAUUAUGAUUUAUUCAGCGGCUAAUUUUAAGGGAAGGGAGAGUGUUUGGUGACCCUGUGUGUUCACAAUAAUGAGCAGAAGAAUAAAAUACAUCAGUUGAUCAGA